rnacentral:rRNA from 1 species
UACAGAGGGGGCAAGCGUUGUCCGGAUUUACUGGGCGUACAGCGCGCGCAGGCGGUUCAUGACGUGCCGUGUGACAUUCCACUGCUUAACAGUGGCGGGCCACGGUAGACGGGUGGACUGGAGGCAGGGAGAGGGAUGUGGAAUACCCGGUGGAGCGGUGAAAUGCGUAGAGAUCGGGUGGAACACCAGCGGCGAAGGCGGCAUCCUGGCCCUGAACUGACGCUGAGGCGCGAGAGCGUGGGGAGCGAACCGG